rnacentral:misc_RNA from 1 species
AAGUCGUAACAAGGUUUCCGUAGGUGAACCUGCGGAAGGAUCAUUACAUUCAGUAGCCUAGCUACUUGUUUACACCCUUGUUUUUUGCGUACCUAUUGUUUCCUCGGCGGGCUUGCUCGCCGGUUGGACAAAACUAUAACCUUUUUUAAAUCUUCAAUCAGCGUCUGAAUUAUACAUAAUAGUUACAACUUUCAACAACGGAUCUCUUGGUUCUG